rnacentral:rRNA from 1 species
GCAAUGGGGGUUUCGCCAAUACUCUUUCCUAUUUGAGGGGCGCCGAUUUCGGUUAUGCUAUGUUGGUUGGUAAAGCUCUCCCAGCAAGCAUUCGUAGCUGGGUUGAGAGGGAAGACCAGCCACACUGGAUUGAGAACCGUCCAGACUCUUACCGGAGGCAGCAGUGGGGAUUUUGAUCAAUGGGGAAACCAUGAUCCAGCCAUCCUGCGUUGGUGGAUGAGGCCUUCGGGUUGUUAAGCACUUUUGCAGGGAGGAAAUAACAGGAGCUAAUAACUUCUGUUGAUGACGGUACCUGCAAGAAUAAGCACCGGCUAACUACGUGGCCAGCAGCCGCGGUAAUACGUAGGGUGCAAGCGUUAUCGGAAUUACUGGGCGUAAAGGGUACGCAGGCGGCUAGGGAAGAAAGAUGUGAAAUCCCAGGGCUCAACCUUGGAACUGCAUUUUUAACUACCUAGCUUAGAGUAUGUCAGAGGGGGGUAGAAUUUCCACGUGUAGCAGUGAAAUGCGUAGAGAUGUGGAGGAAUACCGAUGGCGAAGGCAGCCCCCUGGGAUAAUACUGACGCUCAGGUACGAAAGCGUGGGGAGCAAAACAGGAUUAGAUACCCUGGUAGUCCACGCCCUAAACGAUGUCAACUAGCUGUUGGGGCCGUUAGGCCUUAGUAGCGCAGCUAACGCGUGAAGUUGACCGCCUGGGGAGUACGGUCGCAAGAUUAAAACUCAAAGGAAUUGACGGGGACCCGCACAAGCGGUGGAUGAUGUGGAUUAAUUCGAUGCAACGCGAAAAACCUUACCUACCCUUGACAUGUCUGGAAUUCUGAAGAGAUUUAGAAGUGCCCGCAAGGGAACCGGAACACAGGUGCUGCAUGGCUGUCGUCAGCUCGUGUCGUGAGAUGUUGGGUUAAGUCCCGCAACGAGCGCAACCCUUGUCAUUAGUUGCUACGCAAGAGCACUCUAGUGAGACUGCCGGUGACAAACCGGAGGAAGGUGGGGAUGACGUCAAGUCCUCAUGGCCCUUAUGCGUAGGGCUUCACACGUCAUACAAUGGUCGGGACAGAGGGUCGCCAACCCGCGAGGGGGAGCUAAUCUCAUAAACCCGAUCGUAGUCCGGAUGCAGUCUGCAACUCGACUGCGUGAAGUCGGAAUCGCUAGUUAAUCGCGGAAUCCAGAUAUAAA